AUCCUUCCAUUGUACUCGGCCAUUUUAUUACUCCUCAUACAAGCUUUAGUACUGAUGUCGCCACUGCCUUCUAUACUAGUAAGUUUAGUUAGUAAUUCCCCCGUUUUUUUAAAAAUCCGCACCUAUUUUUCUCAAACACAGAUAUAUAAAACUGUCAGUACUAAUACGUUUAACAUGAUUAUGAAGCUAACAUGGCUUUGCUAAAGAAGAUACACCGAUCUCCUGCGGUGCAUUUGGAUGAUGUAUGCAAUGCACACAUAUACCUGUUUGAGCAUCCUCUGGCCAAGGGAAGAUACAUUUGCCCCUCUCAUACUGUUAACUUAUUUGAAAUUGCGCAUUCACUUGGCCUCAAGUACCCAGACAGGAAUAUAGUAACCGAGUACGUACUAGAGUUCUCUUAGUUCUGUAAUUUUCAAUCUCUAAACUAGCAAAAUAUAUGACGAAAAUUUAUUCUGAUUUUGAGCAGAUUUGAGGGCUUGGACAGGUCACCGAAGAUAAUCCCUUGUUCGUCAAAGAAGCUGAUGGCCCUUGGUUUUGAGUUUGCACACAAAAACAAGGACGUGGGCGACUUUUGCGCUGAAAUCAUCGCGCAAAGAAAUGGGUUUGCUCUGAUGAUAGAAAAGUUGAAUUUUCAAAUAUUUGAACUUUUUAAUGGCUUGAAAAUUUAGAUUUAUGAGGAAGUAUAAAGUAGCAUAGAUAAUUUGAAUUAUUGAAAUUUGAAACAUCGUUAAUGUCAAAAAAAUUUAACAUUUGCUGUAGACAGAUUUCCAGCACAAAUCUGAUUAGUCCUCGUCUGUUAUUUUCGACCCUACUGUUAUUUUCAGACCACAGUUACGUAUAGCCCACCUUGAAUGAUUAUUAGUCACAUUUGUGCCGACCUUAUCUCUUAAUUGGUAGGACAGGAAACAUCAAUACGUACUGCAUCAUUUCAUCAUCCAAAUAUGUAAUUCAUAUAGUAUUUAAGUUCUGAGCCUUUCGAUCUGUAGCCCUAAGUACCAAGUAUACUAUCUCAGUUGUGCACGCACAAUCACAUAUACACUUAAAUACCAACUUCACCAGUAAAUGUGGCGGAAGCGUAUGAUAUAAUUCUCAAAAGAAUUGCCUAGAAAGACAGAUCGGCAGUGAAAAUUGUAAAAAGUAUUGAUCAGUAAGAAGCUAGCUAGGUGCUGUAAUAGUAGGCAUGGAGGAAAAGAGGACAGUGUGUGUAACAGGAGCAUCAGGGUACAUAGGAUCCUGGCUUGUCAAGACACUUCUGGAAAGAGGGUAUCAUGUUCGAGCUACUGUCCGUGAUCCUGGUAUGUAUCAUCUCUUAAGCGCAUUACUGGCAAUUAUAUAUCUUUGCAUCUUUGCUCUGACUAGAUAAGAAGAAUUCUCAAUAGCCAGUUUGAUUGUCAAGUACAUUUUUCCGAAAGAACAAUUAAAUGCAGUGUUUGUUUCUCUAGUUCCUUUCCAAACAUCGCGAAUUAUAUGUCUGCUUACUAGAUCAAAAGUGAUGUUAUUGAUUAUGACAAGGAGAGUCAUGUGCAGGAAAUGAAAAGAAAGUAAAGACUCUGUUGGAGCUUCCGAAAGCAAGCACACAUCUGAGCUUGUGGAAAGCAGAUUUAGCUGAAGAAAAUAGCUAUGAUGAAGCAAUUCAAGGUUGCAAAGGUGUCUUUCAUGUGGCUACCCCCAUGGAACUUGUGCACCAAGGCCAAGAUGGGGUAUGUAUAUAUACCCUUUGCUGCUCCCUUUAGCAUUAGACCGAGCAUCAUCAAUACUUAUCCUUGUUUGGCCUAGUGUAGAUAAAACUAGUUAACUGUUAUAAGUGAAAUCCUAGAACCAUAAUAGGUUCGCAAUGGAAGAAAAAUUGAAUUAUUAAUAAGUUAUUUCUAAAAAGAUUUAUGUAUACGUAGUUGUAAACACAAAUUAGUAACUAACAUAUUAUACAAUUAAAUUUCCGUACUUCUCUAUCCUGUAUUGCCCUGCAUCUAAGCUCAAUUUUGGUAGUAAUGCACUCAGAUAUUAGGCCGUAUCUUCCCUCGACUUAAUUUUGUAUUUUGGUUGUUUCCAUCCACAAUAAUUAUACUCAUUUUCGCUCAUUUCCUUUUGAACACAUAGAUGAUCCCUUUUCCCCAUCUUUGUGUCAAUAUUUUGUUAUUUUAUAUAUGGUCAGGAAGAAGAGAUGGAAUCAACAACAUUGAAUGGAAUACUGAGCAUUAUGAGAUCAUGCUCCAAGGCCAAUACUGUGAAGAGGUUCGUUUACACCUCAAGUACAGGAACGAUUACUGUGCAGGCUCAACCCCCACUCCACGAGUACACCGAGGAUCUUUGGACUGAUGUUGACUUAUGCUAUGAACUUAAGAUGUAUGGAUGGGUAAGUUUCUUUCAAAGUUUUCUUUACAAUACAUAUGCUGGGGUAUUUCUGUUAGGUGCCGUUUGGAAACAUGGAUUUCAUUUCAAAUUCAGGAUUUCAAAUCCAGAAUUUGAAAGCCAAAUCCAUUGUUUAGGAAUAUUAGAAUUUCAAUUCCAGUAUUUGAAAUCAAAAUCCACUGUUAGGUGCCGUUUGGAAACAUGGGUUCUGGGAGGAGAUAUAAAUUGUGUUAUUCCUUAACUUCCAAUGGUCAAUCAGAACAACUAAUAAAAGAAAUUAGAUACCUAACUCUUGGAAAUCAGCUGUGUCAGGUGUCAGCGUGGGCUCGAGCACCUCUAGAUCCUCCCUUGCUUUCCACUCUUUGACAAAAUAAAUAAUUAAAGUAACGGUUAAAAUUUAAACUAAUGAACUGCAGAUGUACCUGGUAGCGAAAACUACUGCAGAGAAAGCCGCAUGGAAAUAUGCAGAAGAGAAUGGGAUUAAUAUGGUCACCAUUCAUCCUUCCAUUGUACUCGGCCAUUUUAUUACCCCUCAUACAAGCUUUAGUACUGACGUCGCCACUGCCUUCUAUACUAGUAAGUUUAGUUACUAAUUCCCCUGUUUUUUCAAAAAUUCGCACCUAUUUUUCUCAAACACAGAUAUAUAAAACUGUCAGUACUAAUACGUGUAACAUGAUCAUACAAUAGAAAAUGAAGCUAACAUGGCGUUGCUAAAGAAGCUCAACGGAUCUAAUGCCGUG
rnacentral:lncRNA from 1 species